UACUUAUCCAGAAAGACUGAGGGAAAGGCCCUGUGAUGUCUUAGCAACCUGUUGAUUAAUAAGGUGCUAAUUCCUGUCCGCAACGUAGCGGAGAAGAUAAGUG
rnacentral:ncRNA from 2 species